AAUAUUGGACAAUUGGCGAAAGCCUGAUCCAGCCAUUCCGCGUGUGUGAAGAAGGUCUUCGGAUUGUAAAGCACUUUAUGUUGUGAGGAAGGGUUGUAGAUUAAUACUCUGCUAUUUUGACGUUACUGACAGAAUAAGCACCGGCUAACUUCGUGCCAGCAGCCGCGGUAAUACGGAUGGUGCAAGCGUUAAUCGGAAUUACUGGGCGUAAAGCGCGCGUAGGUGGUUCGUUAAGUGGGAUGUGAAAGCCCCGAGCUCAACGUGGGAAAUGCAUCCAAAACUGGCGAGCUAGAGUACGGUAGAGGGUGGUGGAAUUUCCUGUGUAGCGGUGAAAUGCGUAGAGAUAGGAAGGAACACCAGUGGCGAAGGCGACCACCUGGACUGAUACUGACACUGAGGUGCGAAAGCGUGGGGAGCAAACAGG
rnacentral:rRNA from 1 species